GACGAACGCUGGCGGCGUGCUUAACACAUGCAAGUCGAACGGAAAGGCCCUGCUUUUGUGGGGUGCUCGAGUGGCGAACGGGUGAGUAACGCGUGAGUAACCUGCCCUUGACUUUGGGAUAACUUCAGGAAACUGGGGCUAAUACCGGAUAGGAGCUCCUGCUGCAUGGUGGGGGUUGGAAAGUUUCGGCGGUUGGGGAUGGACUCGCGGCUUAUCAGCUUGUUGGUGGGGUAGUGGCUUACCAAGGCUUUGACGGGUAGCCGGCCUGAGAGGGUGACCGGCCACAUUGGGACUGAGAUACGGCCCAGACUCCUACGGGAGGCAGCAGUGGGGAAUAUUGCACAAUGGGCGGAAGCCUGAUGCAGCAACGCCGCGUGCGGGAUGACGGCCUUCGGGUUGUAAACCGCUUUCGCCUGUGACGAAGCGUGAGUGACGGUAAUGGGUAAAGAAGCACCGGCUAACUACAUG
rnacentral:rRNA from 1 species